GCCACUGGUCUGCAGGCCACACUCUGAGUAGCAAGGAUUUAGACAACACAACAGGACUGCAGAGUCUGGUCCUCCCUAAGGCUGAUGUGAGCUCGGGUGUGAACAGCUGCAAUCCACAGCUCCAGGAUUGGAUUUCUGCAGUUUCUGGCUGGGUGGGAACGGCCACAAUUGCUGUGCCUGUGCAUUUACAGAUGUUCGCACAGUAGGCAAGGAGGUUAUUCUCAGCAGUCCUCCCCCUGUGGGACUAAAGCAUUUAAAAGAUCCUGUCUGAAGUAUUUUAUACGAAUCAACUCUCUGAAUUUAAAAAGCACAAUCUUAUGGAAUAGGUGCUAUUGUUUCCCCCGUUUGAAAAGUCAGGUAAGCUUUCCAAGGUCACAGGGCUCGUGAGUGAGGAGCUGAGUGCUGAGGUCUCACCCCAUGGGUGCCACUGCCUCCAUUUGAAUGUCAACGCAACUCAAAAGGGUUCUAUUUGACAGGCUUGUGUCUACAAUUACCACGGUCCCGGCGAAAAUGAAGUAGAAGAAAACCCAUGUUAAUCACUGAAAACAACCUGUCAAGGUCCCACUGCUACUGAAUAAAAUCCAACAGAAUAAAAUCUGCCCAGUC